GAGUUUGAUCCUGGCUCAAGAUGAACGCUGGCGGCGUGCUUAACACAUGCAAGUCGAACGGGGAUUACACGGAGAUGCGAUUUCGGUCAAAUCAAGUGCAAUCUUAGUGGCGGACGGGUGAGUAACGCGUGGGUAACCUGCCUUGCACUGGGGGAUAACACUUAGAAAUAGGUGCUAAUACCGCAUAAGCGCACGGUCCUGCAUGGGACAGUGUGAAAAACUCCGGUGGUGCAAGAUGGACCCGCGUCUGAUUAGCUGGUUGGCGGGGUAAAGGCCCACCAAGGCGACGAUCAGUAGCCGGCCUGAGAGGGUGGACGGCCACAUUGGGACUGAGACACGGCCCAAACUCCUACGGGAGGCAGCAGUGGGGGAUAUUGGACAAUGGGGGGAACCCUGAUCCAGCGACGCCGCGUGAGUGAAGAAGUAUUUCGGUAUGUAAAGCUCUGUCAGCAGGGAAGAAAGCAAUGACGGUACCUGACCAAGAAGCCCCGGCUAACUACGUGCCAGCAGCCGCGGUAAUACGUAGGGGGCAAGCGUUAUCCGGAAUUACUGGGUGUAAAGGGAGCGUAGACGGCUGUGCAAGUCUGGAGUGNAAAG
rnacentral:rRNA from 1 species